rnacentral:rRNA from 1 species
GAUGAACGCUAGCUACAGGCUUAACACAUGCAAGUCGAGGGGAAACGAUGAGAGAGCUUGCUCUCUCAGGCGUCGACCGGCGCACGGGUGAGUAACGCGUAUCCAACCUGCCCAUUACAGGGGAAUAACCUUGCGAAAGUAAGACUAAUGCCCCAUAGUAUUCUCAGCAGACAUCUAAUGAGAAUUAAAGAUUUAUCGGUAAUGGAUGGGGAUGCGUCUGAUUAGCUUGUUGGCGGGGUAACGGCCCACCAAGGCAACGAUCAGUAGGGGUUCUGAGAGGAAGGUCCCCCACAUUGGAACUGAGACACGGUCCAAACUCCUACGGGAGGCAGCAGUGAGGAAUAUUGGUCAAUGGGCGAGAGCCUGAACCAGCCAAGUAGCGUGCAGGAUGACGGCCCUAUGGGUUGUAAACUGCUUUUAUAGGGGAAUAAAGUGAUCCACGUGUGGAUUAUUGUAUGACCCUAUGAAUAAG